ensembl:lncRNA
CUCUGAGCCAUAGUGGGUUUAAAGGGAGGGUUUGUGCAUAUGGACUAAGUCUGCAUAUUAACAUAACCAGCCAUUUGGAAGAGAAAAGGGGAUUUGAGAAGAGUUUGUAUCUUCUCUUUUUCUCUGUAACUUGCCAUAAGCUAGUAGAUAACAUUCAAUAUUUCAUUUGUUAGGGAAAGUAAGACGGAAACAAAUGUGGACCAGAUAUGUGACGAUGGAAUGUUAAUGCUGCAUACGUCAAAAUCAAUGAACCACCACAACGGCUGCUUCAUGUUGGCUCGCUAUUCCACUUCCUGUUGUCAGAGACCUUAUUUGAACAUUUUAAAGUACGUGCUUAUGUGUUUUUAUGGUGGAAACCAUCCAUCCUAAGUCUAAAUUGAUCAAAUUGAUGAUAGGUAGUCUUAUGAGUAAAUAGUGGUUUUUGCUCUUAUUCAUAGAUUUGGUUAUCAUUUGUCUACUAAUUCAUAACAUUGACUACAUUUUAAGUGGACAGACAGAAUUCUCACAAAUAGCAUUUUUGCAAAUGUAAAUUUGAUUACCUAAAUUAAUUAAACCUGUUACCGCACAGACGUCUUUAAAGCAAUAGUCAAUACUUACCCAUUCAAUUUAAGUGUUUAGCUGUGAGAAAUGGAAGCUGCGCUUACCGGACAAUUUUUCAGUCGAGUGAAGAAACAUUGAUUUCAUCAUUAUAGUGAGACCGUGCGGCUGACGGAUCACCGCUUUAACAGGCAGACAGUUGACGGAUCUUUUUACUUCAUUGUUUGUCAUUUCAAAAGCCGAAUAAGAAUGCCAAAAUGUAUAUUGUAGAUGACGGUUUAAUUUAAUCUAAAAUGGCAACCUGUCACAGCAGAAGAGUGCAGCAAUUUAGGUGUAGUGGAUCUUUAACAUCAUGCUCCGUAUCAAACAUCAGUAAUAUCAGUAAGGGGUAUUUUCUCAGCGUUCCUAAACAUUGUAUAUUGUAAAUUAUACAGAUUAUAAUUCUAAAAUAAGACAUUUUUGGAAAACAAAAUAAGAAGAAAAAAAUGUAGUUCAGCCUUGAUGUGUGUUUCAUGUUUCUAUCAAGAAAAAACCCUGUUUCUUUAGUUUGGCCUUUUUUUUGUUUUAGUCUUUUUGUUUGAUGCUCUCCUCCUCUUUGAAGCCCUCCAAGGCGUUGCAGUGUGCUCUUUCUUGUGGUGAUUCCCGUUCUUGUGCUGUGUGCUUCUUCUUUAAACAACACAGAGUAAACUGGAGGCCACGUUGUCUGUCUCGCCGAUCAGUCCACCGGGGCUCCGGAUUCUCUCUCAACCAAUCGAACUGGGCAUAAGGCUCUUCUUCUAGAAAUUAGACCACCAAGAUCAAAUUACAGUAUUCCUCUUUACCAAACUAUACAUAAAUAAUGAAAUAUUUAGUACCUAAAUGAAGAAACAACAUACACGUAUUAAAAAAGGGAUCAUUUGUGUACAUUUCCUGUAGAAUUACCAAUAUACUGUAUAUCUUUAGGCUAAAAUAACGGUGAAAUGAAAAGGACAUUUGAGUAAUUCAGAACUGUAGGUGACUCUUUUUUGAUAAACUUGCUGUACAUAACUGCCUUCCAUUCAGCUCGGCUCAAUCAUCCACUGUUUCAGCAGCCAAGAGAAAAUAUGAAGAUGAAAGACUUCUUUGCCCGUAGUUGUGUCCCAUUUUAAGAUUGUUUACGGGAAGAUAUCUUGUUUUACAACAAAGAGUGGAAAAGGGAUCGGACAGUUGAAAUUUAGGACUAUCAUUGUUUUUCGUAGGUUGAUGGGAAAAGAAAAGCUCAACAUGUUUAGUUUGCAUUCGUUGUUUCUCUGCUCGAUGCAGACAACAUUGUGCGACCCAUUUCUGGUUUGGCCCCAGAAUUAAGAACUCAAGAUUUAAACUCAAAGUCUCCUUUAAUGAACAUGUUACUCUAAUCCUUUUGCCUCUUUGUACACAUUUAUAAAGUAUGCGCUAAUAGCAUUAAUUCUUGCUUGAACUCAUCAAAGGUGUUAAACAUUAACAUAUAAUCUGAGAAAAACAUACAUACAAACAAUUUAACAGGUGCAUAUCGAUAUAUUAGGCAAAAUCCCUGAUGACAGGUGAAUUUCCUGUUUUGAUUGUAACUACAAAGACCUUCUCUUCGGACAGAUGGUAUUUCUUAUCAUACACUGUACAUUAUUUGAACAACAAUUGAUGGAAGAAAGGUGCUCUUUUCUUACCAUUGUUUCUCUUCUGAUUUAAUUUAUUUGUCGGUUGUCAAAACAAUGCUGUGUACUUCUGAACAAUUCACGGCGAAGAUGCAAGUUGCACGUCUCCCUGAGGUCGUUAUGGCUGAACUGGCUCCAUUUUAACAUGAAAAAAAGUUACAUUUCUAAGCUUACAAAUACUGAUAUGAAGUUAUAUGUUUCAAGACAGGAAACGGUUCACCCAGUGCCACUUUGUUAUAAAAAUAAUAAAUCUACCAGCUAAAAUCAGGAGGGAGAUUUUGUGAUUCUUUCAGAGGUUUUGAUGAAAUUGCUGCUCAUAGCCAAGAUAUUAUUUAAAUGUACUAAACAAAAGUGUUUUCUAUUUUGUGCAAAGACGAGACAUAAGCUGCACUGGUUUGUGUUUUGGGUUAUACUUGUUAAUGCUUUUGAAGCUGUUAAACUUAUUCUGUGGUUUAAGCUUAAACCAUAUAAAUGACGACAAACCAAACUAGUAUUUUCUAAGACGAGUGUUGGACGAAGAACUGUCUGGGUUUUUGCAAAGACAUCGAUAGAGAAAGUUUGACCUGGUGGCACUUUGGACACCAUGUUAUCGCCCAGAGCUUACAUCCAUUAGUUGCAAGUACUCUAUGAAACAAUAGCUGGAGCAGAAGGAUGAAGUUGUUUGGCCAUAAGGACCAUCUAACAUGGCCGCCCCAGAAAUCUGCUCAGGCCAAACUGUGUCUAUCUACAACUCGACGGCGUUUAGUCAUUUAGCUGUAUUUAAUCCCCAAAUGUAACUGCCACUUGUGCUGCAGCUGAACCCCUCAGACUGAAUUUGCAAAUGAGAAGAAAAUAUUUUCCGGGUGCGAGAACGAUGACAAAUUUGGAUUUACAGGACAUUUAACGAUAUUUAACGAAGUCCCUGGCGCGGUGGAGAAGAGCUUUGAAUGAGAGAAGACCCUGUAGUGUUAUUAAAAACAUGUCUGUAGACUUUAGAUGUGCUUCACAUCAGUAAAUGGAAAAAAAAGAAAAAAAAAGAAACAAUAACCUGUAUAUUUUUGUGACGUGUAUCAUACAAGUGUGCUCCAACAAUAAUGUCCAUUUGUGUAAAUGUAUUUAUUUCACAUUGUAUAUAAUGUUCAAUGCAAAAAGAGAGACCUAUGAUUCUGUAACUUAAACUACUAUGGGUUGAAACAGUACAUGUGUUACUCAAGACUAUGCCUUUCAGGAUUAUUACAGUAGAGCAAUAUCAAUUAAAACCAGGCUUCCAGUUUUG